GAGGAGGAAGGUCACUAUCUGCAAAUCAGGGAGUUCUUCAAGGUGAUAAUGCGCAGGCCGCAGAGAGGGGAGAUGAUGUGGGAAGCCUUUGCUAUGGAGGUGGUACCUGAUUCUCAUAGGACUGCUAUCCCAGCAGUUAAGUAACGAGGACCAUCCCGACUUCAUCUUCCUGCAGCUGCUAGAAGUGAAACUCAAGAGGCUGCCGCAGGCACUGCAGCACCUUCUCAGAACUGCUUGACCUUAAUGGAUUAGCGUUUCCCUGAGCAGGUGGCAAUUUAACAAGAGGAGACAAACUUUUACACUUAGGAGACCUCUGGUGAAUGGCAUCAAAUUUCAGAAUGUUGAAACAGAGCAAAGAAACUUAGGAUGCCUUCCCACCUUAACCCUGUGCCACCUUAACCCCCUUGCUAUGCACAUAAGUUACAGCUUUCCAGUUAGGAUCCUAAGUCCAUUUAUUAAGGUA